GGAAGUAGCCAUGCAUAAAAGAUUACACAUGAUGGCAGGGCACAAGUGUGAAGAUUUUCAAAAUUAGAUACAAUCUCAGCAUGAAUAUGAACUGCCAAAUUGACACAGAAGGAUUUUUUUUUUUCAAGUCAUCAAGUUCUCCAUAUUUAUCAGCUCCUGAAUGAAGCACAAACAAAAAGCAUGCCGUCUGCUUUGAUUGGAAGGACAAAAGACUCAAGAUAACUCUGCAGGGAAUUCAUAUGUUUCUCACACUUGCAGAAGCAGCAGACUGCUGAAAAGAGGAAUCUGGGAGGAUCUUUGUCUUGCAGCAGUAUAUUGGGAGGAAGGAGAGAAAAAAAAGUAUGAGGAAAGAGUAUCUGACAAAGGACCUUGAAGAAUAUUGUUCACCUUCCAUUACAGUUGGUCCCUGUCCAGCCAAGAAGUAUUGAGCUGAUUGUGAGGUCCUGGAAUGCUGUGCAUGUAAUUUUUUUUUUUUUUUUUGUAAAAAUUGACUACAAGCAUGAAAAUCUGCAAACAAGAGGAUGGAAAAAAAAUUCAACUUUCA